rnacentral:rRNA from 1 species
GGUUACUGCUAUCGGUGUUCGCCUAAGCCAUGCGAGUCAUAUGUUCUUCGGAACAUGGCGUACUGCUCAGUAACACGUGGAUAACCUGCCCUUGGGUCCGGCAUAACCCCGGGAAACUGGGGAUAAUUCCGGAUAACGCACAUAUGCUGGAAUGCUUUAUGCGUCAAAUGGAUUCGUCCGCCCAAGGAUGGGUCUGCGGCCUAUCAGGUAGUAGUGGGUGUAAUGUACCUACUAGCCUACGACGGGUACGGGUUGUGAGAGCAAGAGCCCGGAGAUGGAUUCUGAGACAUGAAUCCAGGCCCUACGGGGCGCAGCAGGCGCGAAAACUUUACAAUGCGGGAAACCGUGAUAAGGGGACACCGAGUGCCAGCAUCAUAUGCUGGCUGUCCGGGUGUGUAAAAUACACCUGUUAGCAAGGGCCGGGCAAGACCGGUGCCAGCCGCCGCGGUAACACCGGCGGCCCGAGUGGUGAUCGUGAUUAUUGGGUCUAAAGGGUCCGUAGCCGGUUUGGUCAGUCCUCCGGGAAAUCUGACGGCUUAACCGUUAGGCUUUCGGGGGAUACUGCCAGACUUGGAACCGGGAGAGGUAAGAGGUACUACAGGGGUAGGAGUGAAAUCUUGUAAUCCCUGUGGGACCACCUGUGGCGAAGGCGUCUUACCAGAACGGGUUCGACGGUGAGGGACGAAAGCUGGGGGCACGAACCGGAUUAGAUACCCGGGUAGUCCCAGCCGUAAACGAUGCUCGCUAGGUGUCAGGCAUGGCGCGACCGUGUCUGGUGCCGCAGGGAACCCGUGAAGCGAGCCACCUGGGAAGUACGGCCGCAAGGCUGAAACUUAA